ACCAUGAAGUUGGAAUUGCUAGUAAUCGCAGAUCAGAAUGCUGCGGUGAAUACGUUCCCGGGCCUUGUACACACCGCCCGUCACACCAUGGGAGCCGGUAAUACCCGAAGUCAGUAGUCUAACCGCAAGGGGGACGCUGCCGAAGGUAGGAUUGGCGACUGGGGUGAAGUCGUAACAAGGUAAC
rnacentral:rRNA from 1 species